GAUGAACGCUGGCGGCGUGCCUAAUACAUGCAAGUCGAGCGAACAGACGAGGAGCUUGCUCCUCUGACGUUAGCGGCGGACGGGUGAGUAACACGUGGAUAACCUACCUAUAAGACUGGGAUAACUUCGGGAAACCGGAGCUAAUACCGGAUAAUAUAUUGAACCGCAUGGUUCAAUAGUGAAAGACGGUUUUGCUGUCCCUUAUAGAUGGAUCCGCGCCGCAUUAGCUAGUUGGUAAGGUAACGGCUUACCAAGGCAACGAUGCGUAGCCGACCUGAGAGGGUGAUCGGCCACACUGGAACUGAGACACGGUCCAGACUCCUACGGGAGGCAGCAGUAGGGAAUCUUCCGCAAUGGGCGAAAGCCUGACGGAGCAACGCCGCGUGAGUGAUGAAGGUCUUCGGAUCGUAAAACUCUGUUAUUAGGGAAGAACAAAUGUGUAAGUAACUCUGCACGUCUUGACGGUACCUACUCAGAAAGCCCCGGCUAACUACGUG
rnacentral:rRNA from 1 species